rnacentral:siRNA from 1 species
CACGGGGAAACUUACCAGGUCC